rnacentral:lncRNA from 1 species
AACAGCCUUAUCCCAAUUGGAGAUCUUUUCUUAGAUGACCUUUUCUGAUAUCAUGAAUGACUUCCUGCUUUUGAGCAGUUUGUCUGUCAGAGAGAAUCACCAGAUAUCUUUGUUUGCGCCAAGUAGGCUGACAAGAGUCUUCUGGGGAAGCCUUUGCAUGAAUCCUUUGUGCAACUGAAAAGCUGGUAGCAGAUUUUGAAGUUUUUUCUUGCUUGUUUUGACAAGGACCGACUCAGAGUGAAUGAUACAAUGAUGCAAAGAAACAAGUAUCAACAAGAAAUGCCCCUGUCGGAAGGACAGAAGGAAGAGUGUUUUUUUUCUUUUUUUCAAUAACUAGCCUUAAUGAUCAUGACAUGCAUUUUAGACUCAACGGCCUGAUCUAUCAAACUAAUCCAAUCUUCCCUUUUAACAUUCUUAUGACCUUUGAAGUCGGGCUUGUUUAUGUCAAUUCUUUGCAUCAGAUUCACGACUCGCUUUCGACUAGUGGUGCCCCGGGGGAUUUUCACCAAUAAUUAUCUCUCAUUUAUUUAUCUCUUCUUACCAUCACCUUACAGUGCCUGUGAAAGUUUUCACUAGUAAGACUCUCUCAUUUUCGUUUCUUUUUCUUUUUCUUUUACUUUCUUGUGCGAGCAACUUGACAGUGUUUUACGUCAUGUGACAACCGUUGCUCAUUGCAUGCUUCUCUUGGCAUUCUUGAAGGCAUAUUGGGAGGUCUUUAUUUGGAAGGAUUUUGGAUAGGGUUGGAAAGAAAGGACGUCAUGAAGGCUCAAAAUAAACUCAAAGUAAAGGGGGUUGUGGAGUUACAACUCUUGGAAUCGACUCUUUCAAAAGUGAAAUAAAAUCUCUGCCCCAGUUUCAGCUAUUGGGGACUUUUUGGAAUUUUUCUCUUUUUCUCUUUUUUUUGAAUUCUUAUUUGGUUGGACCGAACGUGAGGCUGCCUACGUAUCCUUUUUUUUUAAGGAAUCAGGUCGAACGUAGUUCAAACAUCUGACCUAAACUAUUUUUCAUCUUUCUUUCUAUUUCUCUUUUUUCUUUUUUUCUUUUUCUCUGUUUUUUCUUUUCUUUUUCUUCUUUUUUUCCUUUUUUUUCUUUUUUUAGUUGCCCCAGUUUCUAUUUUUGAGGGCAUGGACCUUCGACAGUACUUUUCUUCUUCUUUUUUUACUUGAACUUUCAAAGAGCUGCCCUAGUUUGUACUCUUGGGGCAUGGACUUUUCUUUUUUCAUUUUUUUUGACUCUUGACUCUAAACUUGAUUCCAAAAGGGGGUGGUCAAAGAAAAUAACACAGGCACGAAAGGGGCAAUAAAUGGUAUAAAGUGUUUGGGUAGCAUAAAAAAGGGCCUCCCAGCCUCGAGAAUGCUAAUCAUGUUAUCUUUCCGCGAUUACAGCAUUGACGAACAUGUUUGUCUUCUUGGUGUGUUGUGGUCACAAGACACUUUCUAUCCCUUUAAUGUCAAACUUUCCAACAAACUUCAAUUGAUUAAAUAUCAUGAAGCCCGAUCUUCACAAUGAUUUGAAGUUGAAUUUUACUCGACUUUAAUUUCAAAGUAUUUCAACUCUUUAUUCAUCCUCAAAAGUGUUUUUUCUUCAGUUAUCCAAUUCCAGAAUAAAUCAGUUUCUAAGAUCUGACCAAAAUUUCCGCAUGCAUGUCAUGUUAUUAGAACUAGCGCGAAAAGAACUAAGAACAGAAUGACACAAAAGGACAAACUGUAUUUUAUUGAGUAAAGGAAGAAAGGGUUUGACAACAAGACAAACAACCUAAAAUCCGAGUUAAUAGAACAGACAGACAAGACUCACACAAAUAGAAUGGAGGGAUAGAAGGGUUUGACUCAAACAAAUAAAAUCUGGAUGACAACUCUGAAAUAACCCAGAUAGUAGAAAAACAUCAAAACAAGCUACCAAGAUUCCUUCCUAAUGAGGAAAGAAUGACUUUUCAAUUGCUAAGCUUGACAUUUAAUCAGAAUCACCAUGGCUUUCCCCAAUUUCAGUCGACAAGUUCCCGAGAGGAUUCUCAUACUCCACGUCACCGGGCAUCAUCCCCACAAAGUGUGCAUCAUCAUGUGCAGGUAAAUGAUUCUGUGCGAUAUUCUGGGCGUCACUGUCUUGGAUCACAAUCAGGUUUUCCUGGAUCAUCCUUUCUAUUCCUCUUUUCAAAUCCCGACAGCUUUUAAUAUUAUGCCCCUAGGCAUUGGAAUGGUAUUCACACCUUUUGGAGGGGUCAAAGCUUCUUGCACGUGGGUCCACAUGAUUUGGAGGAAUGGAUGCAAUCAUGUCAUGAUGCAUUAACUUCUCAAACAAGAUUGCAUAGGACUCUCCUAUUGGCGUAAAAUUAUCUUUCAACCUUUGUUCCCUUCUAUACCCCUAGCUUGG